rnacentral:rRNA from 1 species
UACAGAGGUCUCAAGCGUUGUUCGGAUUCAUUGGGCGUAAAGGGUGCGUAGGUGGCGGGGUAAGUCAGGUGUGAAAUCUCGGAGCUCAACUCCGAAACUGCACUUGAUACUGCCUUGCUCGAGUACUGGAGAGGAGAUUGGAAUUUACGGUGUAGCAGUGAAGUGCGUAGAUAUCGUAAGGAAGACCAGUGGCGAAGGCGAAUCUCUGGACAGUUACUGACACUGAGGCACGAAGGCCAGGGGAGCAAACGGG